rnacentral:lncRNA from 1 species
AGCUCCCAUUCCCGCCUCACCCCGUCGGGUCUUCAGAGGCCAGACCUAAAAAUCCCUGGACCAACGAGCACAAACCGCCGCCAGAGCUUCGGAUCGGCGCUGCGGGCGGAAGCGGUGGUCAGAGGAGUCGCCGCGGGGCCGGACGGGGCAGGGCGUGGCCAGUGGCGCUCGUGCUGUCCUCGCGCCUCGGGGCCACGGGCUCUUCGCCUCAGCCUAGCGUGCCUCACGUGGAGUGGCCCCACCUCGACCAAUCAGCGGCCGCCGGUGGGGGCGAGGAGGCGGGACUGAGGCUUGAGGCCGGAGGAGGCACUUGCGACAGGCGAAAGGGACUUGGAGUGGCACGCUCGCUGGCCAAUCAGGAGGAGAAAAGCCAGUCUGGGCGAGUGAAGUUUGGCGCGUGGAAGACUUGAAGGCGUUACUAAACAAAAGUUACAAAGUGAACUUGCAGUGCUUCCCUUAAGGGAGAUGUAGUUACAAUUCCAGCACACUGGCCCACUCUCUCUCUCUUGGUGGUGUGAGACUUUCUACAACAGAAUGUCUAAAUGCCAUGAAUGCCCCAUCACUGAACCAGGAGCCAUUAUCAAGAGGACUCUAAGGGAAGACAUUGAGGCAACAGCCCAUCAUGGCAGAAGACAUGACAGCA